ACAUGCAAGUCGAGCGGUAGCACAGGGAGCUUGCUCCUGGGUGACGAGCGGCGGACGGGUGAGUAAUGUCUGGGGAUCUGCCUGAUGGAGGGGGAUAACUACUGGAAACGGUAGCUAAUACCGCAUAACGUCGCAAGACCAAAGAGGGGGACCUUCGGGCCUCUUGCCAUCAGAUGAACCCAGAUGGGAUUAGCUAGUAGGUGGGGUAAUGGCUCACCUAGGCGACGAUCCCUAGCUGGUCUGAGAGGAUGACCAGCCACACUGGAACUGAGACACGGUCCAGACUCCUACGGGAGGCAGCAGUGGGGAAUAUUGCACAAUGGGCGCAAGCCUGAUGCAGCCAUGCCGCGUGUAUGAAGAAGGCCUUCGGGUUGUAAAGUACUUUCAGCGAGGAGGAAGGCAUUAAGGUUAAUAACCUUAGUGAUUGACGUUACUCGCAGAAGAAGCACCGGCUAACUCCGUGCCAGCAGCCGCGGUAAUACGGAGGGUGCAAGCGUUAAUCGGAAUUACUGGGCGUAAAGCGCACGCAGGCGGUUUGUUAAGUCGGAUGUGAAAUCCCCGGGCUCAACCUGGGAACUGCAUUCGAAACUGGCAAGCUUGAGUCUUGUAGAGGGGGGUAGAAUUCCAGGUGUAGCGGUGAAAUGCGUAGAGAUCUGGAGGAAUACCGGUGGCGAAGGCGGCCCCCUGGACAAA
rnacentral:rRNA from 1 species